AUUGAACGCUGGCGGCAGGCCUAACACAUGCAAGUCGAACGAGUGGCGGACGGGUGAGUAAUGUCUGGGAAACUGCCCGGUGGAGGGGGAUAACUACUGGAAACGGGAGCUAAUACCGCAUAUCAUCGGAUGUGACCAGAUGGGAUUAGCUAGUAGGUGGGGUAACGGCUCACCUAGGAGACGAUCCCUAGCUGGUCUGCGAGGAUGACCAGCAACACUGGAACUGAGACACGGUCCAUACUCCGACGGGAGGCAGCAGUGGGGAAUAUUUCACAAUGGGCGCAAGCCUGAUGAAGCCAUGCCGCGUGUAUCAAGAAGGGCUUCGGGUUGUAAAGUACGUUCAGCGGGGAGGCGUUACCCGCAGAAGAAGCAACGGCUAACGCCGUGCCAGCAGCCGCGGUAAUAC
rnacentral:rRNA from 1 species